rnacentral:rRNA from 1 species
UGGGGAAUAUUGCACAAUGGGCGCAAGCCUGAUGCAGCCAUGCCGCGUGUAUGAAGAAGGCCUUCGGGUUGUAAAGUACUUUCAGCGGGGAGGAAGGGAGUAAAGUUAAUACCUUUGCUCAUUGACGUUACCCGCAGAAGUAGCACCGGCUAACUCCGUGCCAGCAGCCGCGGUAAUACGGAGGGUGCAAGCGUUAAUCGGAAUUACUGGGCGUAAAGCGCACGCAGGCGGUUUGUUAAGUCAGAUGUGAAAUCCCCGGGCUCAACCUGGGAACUGCAUCUGAUACUGGCAAGCUUGAGUCUCGUAGAGGGGGGUAGAAUUCCAGGUGUAGCGGUGAAAUGCGUAGAGAUCUGGAGGAAUACCGGUGGCGAAGGCGUCCCCCUGAACGAAGACUGACGCUCAGGUGCGAAAGCGUGGGGAGCAAACAGG